rnacentral:rRNA from 1 species
GACGAACGCUGGCGGCGUGCUUAACACAUGCAAGUCGAACGGAAAGGCCCUGCUUUUGUGGGGUGCUCGAGUGGCGAACGGGUGAGUAACACGUGAGUAACCUGCCCUUGACUUUGGGAUAACUUCAGGAAACUGGGGCUAAUACCGGAUAGGAGCUCCUGCUGCAUGGUGGGGGUUGGAAAGUUUCGGCGGUUGGGGAUGGACUCGCGGCUUAUCAGCUUGUUGGUGGGGUGGUGGCUUACCAAGGCUUUGACGGGUAGCCGGCCUGAGAGGGUCACCGGCCACAUUGGGACUGAGAUACGACACAGACUCCUACGGGAGGCAGCGGUGGGGAAUAUUGCACAAUGGGCGGAAGCCUGAUGUAGCAACGCCGCGUGCGGGAUGACGGCCUUCGGGUUGUAAACCGCUUUCGCCUGUGACGAAGCGUGAGUGACGGUAAUGGGUAAAGAAGCACCGGCUAACUACGUG